CCUCUAGAUGACGAAGAGAUGGUUUCGUACAUCCUGACCGGCCUCAUCUGUGAUUACACUCCCCAAGUGUUGGCUCUUGUGUCACGAGUGGAACCAAUCUCAGUAAGCGAGCUAUAUUCUCAGCUGCUGAGUUUUGCGA